AAAGAUUUAAGCCUGCACGUCUAAKUACAAUCCUGAUAUUAUAAGAGAAACUGCAGAUGGCUCAUUAGAUCAGUUAUGGUUUAUUGGAGUGCGUAAAAAUGCCAUGGAUAACUGUGGUAAUUCUAGAGCUAAUACAUGCAAUCAAGCGCGGACCCUUCGGGGAAAGCGUGCUUUUAUUAGGAACAAGACCAGCCCGGAGGGUUCGCCUUCCGGUCUCCGCUGGUGAACUCUAGAUAACAAUGUCGAUCGUACGGUCUCGCACCGGCGACGCUUCCUUCAAAAGUCUGCUCUAUCAACUGUCGAUGGUAUGUUAUGCGCUUAUCAUGGUAAUGACGGGUAACGGAGAAUCAGGGUUCGAUUCCGGAGAGGGAGCCUGAGAAACGGCUACCACAUCCAAGGAAGGCAGCAGGCACGCAAAUUACCCACUCCUGACACGGGGAGGUAGUGACAAAAAAUAACGAUACAGGCCUCUUCGGAGGCCCUGUGAUCGGAAUGAGUACACUUUAAAUCCUUUAACGAGGAUCUACUGGAGGGCAAGUCUGGUGCCAGCAGCCGCGGUAAUUCCAGCUCCAGCAGCGUAUAUUAAAUCUGCUGCAGUUAAAAAGCUCGUAGUCGGAUUUCUGGCCGGGACGGGCGGUCCGCCGUGAGGCGAGCACUGCCCGUGUCUCCUCGCCUGUAAUGGGCUUGGUAGAAUUUCCCGGCCAGUCAUUCGGUUGAUCGUGCGGUGCUCUUAACUGAGUGCCGUGCGAGACUGGAACGUUUACUUUGAGAAAAUUAGAGUGUUCAAAGCAGGCCAAAGUGCCCGAACAGCUCAGCAUGGAAUAAUGGAACAGGACCUCGGUUCUAUUUCGUUGGUCUAAGGGACCGGAGGUAAUGAUCAAGAGGGACUGCCGGGGGCAUUCGUAUUGCGGCGUGAGAGGUGAAAUUCUUGGAUCGUCGCAAGACGCCCGACAGCGAAAGCAUUUGCCAAGAAUGUCUUCAUUGAUCAAGAACGAAAGUCGGAGGAUCGAAGGCGAUCAGAUACCGCCCUAGUUCCGACCAUAAACGAUACCAACUCACAAUCCGCCGGCGUUCCUCCCAUGACGCGGCGGGCAGCCCUCGGGAAACCAAAGUUAUUGGGUUCCGGGGGAAGUAUGGUUGCAAAGCUGAAACUUAAAGGAAUUGACGGAAGGGCACCACCAGGAGUGGAGCCUGCGGCUUAAUUUGACUCAACACGGGGAAACCUACCCGGCCCGGACACAGUAAGGAUUGACAGAUUGAGAGCUCUUUCUUGAUUUUGUGGAUGGUGGUGCAUGGCCGUUCUUAGUUGGUGGAGCGAUUUGUCUGGUUAAUUCCGAUAACGAACGAGACUCUGGCUUGCUAAAUAGUCUGGCUACCCGUCGAGGUAAGCCACGAACUUCUUAGAGGGACAAAUGGCUCUCAGCCAUACGAAAUAGAGCAAUAACAGGUCUGUGAUGCCCUUAGAUGUCCGGGGCCGCACGCGCGCUACACUGGAGGAAGCAGCGGGUACACUACCCUCGGCCGAAAGGUCCGGGUAAUCCGCUGAGACUUCUCCGUGAUGGGGACAGGGACUUGUAAUUGUGUCCCUUGAACGAGGAAUUCCAAGUAAACGCGAGUCAUCAGCUCGCAUUGAUUACGUCCCUGCCCUUUGUACACACCGCCCGUCGCUACUACCGAUCGAAUGGCUUAGUGAGGCCAUCGGAUCGUCCGUCUGGCAUCCCGGCUUCGGCCGGCGUCAAGGCGUGACGAAAAGACGGUCAAACUUGAUCAUUUAGAGGAAGUAAAAGUCGUAACAAGGUUUCCGUAGUGAAC
rnacentral:rRNA from 1 species